GACGAACGCUGGCGGCGUGCCUAAUACAUGCAAGUAGAACGCUGAAGCGAGGAGCUUGCUCUUCUUGGAUGAGUUGCGAACGGGUGAGUAACGCGUAGGUAACCUGCCUUGUAGCGGGGGAUAACUAUUGGAAACGAUAGCUAAUACCGCAUAACAAUAGGUGACACAUGUCAUUUAUUUGAAAGGGGCAAUUGCUCCACUACAAGAUGGACCUGCGUUGUAUUAGCUAGUAGGUGAGGUAACGGCUCACCUAGGCGACGAUACAUAGCCGACCUGAGAGGGUGAUCGGCCACACUGGGACUGAGACACGGCCCAGACUCCUACGGGAGGCAGCAGUAGGGAAUCUUCGGCAAUGGGGGCAACCCUGACCGAGCAACGCCGCGUGAGUGAAGAAGGUUUUCGGAUCGUAAAGCUCUGUUGUAAGUCAAGAACGAGUGUGAGAGUGGAAAGUUCACACUGUGACGGUAGCUUACCAGAAAGGGGCGGCUAACUACGUG
rnacentral:rRNA from 1 species